rnacentral:tRNA from 1 species
UCCCUAGUGGCUCAGUGGGUUAAGGACCCAGCACUGUCACUGCUGUGGUGUGGGUUCAAUCCCUGUCCUGGGAG